UACGGAGGGGGCUAGCGUUGUUCGGAAUUACUGGGCGUAAAGCGCACGUAGGCGGCUUUCUAAGUCAGGGGUGAAAUCCUGGAGCUCAACUCCAGAACUGCCUUUGAUACUGGAGAGCUUGAGUCCGGAAGAGGUGAGUGGAACUCCGAGUGUAGAGGUGAAAUUCGUAGAUAUUCGGAAGAACACCAGUGGCGAAGGCGGCUCACUGGUCCGGUACUGACGCUGAGGCACGAAGGCCAGGGGAGCAAACGGG
rnacentral:rRNA from 1 species